UGAGUAACACGUGAAUAACCUGGCCUCGAUUUCGGAAUAACCCAUGGAAACCUGGGCUAAUACCGGAUACGUAAACCUGUGGCGUCACAUGGUUUUGGAAAGAUACUCUUUCGAUUGAGGAUGGAUUCGCGGCCUAUCAGCUUGUUGGUGAGGUAAUGGCUCACCAAUGCGACUACGGGUAGCCGGCCUGAGAGGGUGGACGGCCACACUGGGACUGAGACACGGCCCAGACUCCUACGGGAGGCAGCGGUGGGGAAUAUUGCGCAUUGGAGGAAAGUCUGACGCAGCGACGCCUCUUGAGGGACGAAGGUCUUCGGAUUGGAAACCUCUUUCAGCAGGGACGAUUCGAAAGUGACGGUUCCUGCAGAAGAAGCCCCGGCUAACUAUGUGCCACCAGCCGCGGUAAUACAUAGGGUGCAAGCGUUGUCCGGAUUUAUUGGGCG
rnacentral:rRNA from 1 species